rnacentral:misc_RNA from 1 species
CAGCAACAAAUCUCCCCUGGGAGUUGGAUGGAGCCAUGCUCCGGCGUCUGGAGAAGCGAAUACUUGUACCUCUUCCUGAAUCAGAGGCAAGAAGGGCCAUGUUUGAGGAACUCCUGCCAUCACAACCUGAUGAGAUUGAGCUCCCUUACAAUUUAUUGGUGGAAAGGACAGAAGGUUAUUCAGGUUCAGAUAUUCGAUUACUGUGCAAAGAAGCUGCCAUGCAGCCACUAAGACGGCUGAUGGCACUCCUUGAAGACAGAGAGGAAAUAGUGCCCGAGGAUGAGUUGCCAAAAGUUGGGCCGAUCACACGAGAGGAUAUAAAGACAGCCUUAAGGAACACUAGGCCAUCUGCUCAUCUCCAUGCUCACCGUUAUGAGAAGUUUAAUGCUGAUUAUGGUAGCCAAAUACUCCAAUGAAGGCUCACAUCCUCGGAUGUCAUUCUAAAUUCCUCCAUGAAAUGUUUCUUAGUUUAUGUUGUUAUCAGAUAACGUGUACUAUUAUAUCUUUACCAUAACGAGCCUAGAUGAGGACGUGAAAGUCUGAUAAUUAUAUAUAUCAUGGUUUGGUCUCAACAAUUACUUUCCAGUAUCCAUUUUUUAAUGGUUUUUGUAGGAUUACGCGC